GCAGAGGUGCUGUCAUUUUACUAAACUACGCCUUAGUUUUCGAAAUUAAACGACGCCCUACAUUCAUAAUGACCUAAACGUUCAUUCUGUAAAAAUGAAAAACAUAAAAAACUUACUAGUUCAAUCCAAAAAAUCCUUAUUUCGUAUGUUUUACUAUGUUUUAUUUGGUCGAAAACACUCUCGACGAACCACGGAUCAAAAUUGGAAAGGUACGAAAUUGAAUUUUGGAUCUGAAAAAAA
rnacentral:lncRNA from 1 species